rnacentral:snoRNA from 1 species
AGUUCUAUGCAUGGGAUAAAAUAGCACUGGGCCAUUGUAAAUUGAGAUGAAUAAUCAUUUCAUCUCUUCUGCAUGCCCGGUCUAGACAUUG